AUUGAACGCUAGCGGGAUGCUUUACACAUGCAAGUCGAACGGCAGCGCGGACUUCGGUCUGGCGGCGAGUGGCGAACGGGUGAGUAAUGUAUCGGAACGUGCCCAGUAGCGGGGGAUAACUACUCGAAAGAGUGGCUAAUACCGCAUAUGCCCUAAGGGGGAAAGCAGGGGAUCUUCGGACCUUGCACUAUUGGAGCGGCCGAUAUCGGAUUAGCUAGUUGGUGGGGUAAAGGCCUACCAAGGCGACGAUCCGUAGCUGGUUUGAGAGGACGACCAGCCACACUGGGACUGAGACACGGCCCAGACUCCUACGGGAGGCAGCAGUGGGGAAUUUUGGACAAUGGGGGAAACCCUGAUCCAGCCAUCCCGCGUGUGCGAUGAAGGCCUUCGGGUUGUAAAGCACUUUUGUCAGGAAAGAAAUCGCUCGGGCUAAUAUCCUGAGUGGAUGACGGUACCUGAAGAAUAAGCACCGGCUAACUACGUGCCAGCCGCCGCGGUAAGAC
rnacentral:rRNA from 1 species